rnacentral:lncRNA from 13 species
GUAUUUAUUCAGCUUAUCAGAAAUUGAAGCCAUCUGGGUUCAGAAAAUGUUUUGUAGGGUAUCUUUGUUCUGCUUAGAGUCUAUCUGCUUAGGAGUUGUCUCUGGUCCUCUCCAUAAAUUCUAAAAUGUCAUGGGAUGAUCUAAAAUUUCUAAUCUAUAUUUGGCAUACCAGUAAUGAAAUAAUUCAUAUUUAAUUUUCUUCUACCUAUUUAUCUACAACUUAAAAAUUAUAAACUAUAAUAUUUAAAUUACUAAAAUAUAAAAUGUCAGCUCUCAUAACCACUCUCUCAUCUUAUUCUUGAUAUCUUGCUAAUGCAAUUACAGAACCCAGUCACAUGGCCUCACUCAACUGCAAUGGAGCUUGGAAAAUAUUUCGUUAUGCGUCCAGAAGGGAAGAGCAAUUGACUUAAGCAACUAGGCAGUCUCCACCACAAAAGCCUAUAUGGCCACCUGCAGCAUUUUCAAGGACUGUUCCAUUUAACCUCAGACUACGCAUUGGCCUACUGCCAGUGCUUGGAGAACACUGUGAUAUCACUGCAUUCUAGAUGGAAUGAACACUCCAGGCUCUGACAGCUGGAACUCAACCCCUCAAAUUCUUCACUGAGUAGUGUUAACAAAGUCCUAGUGGCCUCUCUCCUGCAUUCUAUCAUUUGGAUCACCAUUACUUAAAUCUGCCUUUACUUUUGACUUAAUAAGGUGAACUAACCUGAGCACAGCCUUUGGCUCCUGUCUUCCUCCAUCCAAAUGCUUGAACUGCAGAACAUAAAAUUCUUGAGAAAUGAUCUCAUUAUCCAUUCACUUACUAAAGAAAAAUACUGUCGAGGACUCAAGAUGGCGCUGUGAGAACAACCCAGGAUUGGAGUUCUCGUUGUGUCUGCGGAGAGGUAUAGAGUUCAAGUACCAUUUGGUCUCAAUAUCUUGUUGAGGAGAUAAAUGAAACAAGAUAAAAACCAUUCAGUGGGCUCUUUCCGCACAGAAAAGCACACAGCCUGUUACGGAAUAAAGAAUUUGUAGCUGAACUGUUCUACCCA